rnacentral:lncRNA from 1 species
CAAGGAGACAUCGGGCAUUGUAAUGAGGCAAAUGUGCAAUACUAUGAGGGAUAUCUUGGGAAAAUGUGCAUUUUCUUGGUGGAUAUCUUGGGCAAAUGUGCAAUACCAUCAGGAAUAUCUUGGGCAAAAUGUGCAAUAUGAUGAGGGAUAUCUUGGCAAAUAUCUUGGAUAAUUUAUCUUAAAUUGCUAAAGAACAAUGUUGUAAGGUUGGUGGAUAUUUAUAUUAGCGAUAAAAUGGGGGUUCCUUGCGCAUAGGAACGAAGUAAGGUUGGCUGAUGGAGUGUAAUAAUCUAACAAUAUAGACUUUGAUGGCUUGAACCAUGGAUAAUAAAAUAAAUGGAUAGGAAACUAGCUGACGUGACC